CCCAAUCUACUAAAUCCCUAAUUUUGCUUCUCCUUCCCCAAGCUCCGCCGCCGGACACAUGAUCCAACAUCGACCUCAUCCUCUUCCUCCGAGCUCCACUACUUCUCGUCAAUAUCUUCCUUAUCCUUUGUCAGCAUCAUCCGCCUUCUCUCCUGAACUCUUCUGCAUGUGUUCUCCUCCUCCUCUGUUAGCUUCCUCCUCAUCAUCAUCAUCCUGGCCCCUACUCUAUCUCUCUUCUCCCCUCUCCCUACUAGCUAGUUUCCUUCCAGAUUGUGAGCUACCAUCAUCCCGCCGACAAUGUCGGCCAUGAAAUCAUGAAUUCUGUGAAUCAGGUAUCUCUCCCUCUUUUGUUACCCACUAAUUUUCCUUUGUUGGCAGUCUAAUUGAUCCAACUUAGAAAUUGGAUUACCGGACUGAAUUGAAUGUUAGUUUUGCUCUCAGUUUUUUCUCCUAAUGUGAUAAUUGCGUUCUUUGGAGAUUUUAUAAGCUUAUAAUUUCAUAUCUACUCCGCUGCUAAUCCCAACCUUAGAGCAUGUGUUUCUUGAAUAUCUCUAGAGGAUUCCAAAUGUGUUACUUGUGUUUGGCUGAGUGUAGACAUGGAUUUUAGAUGGUGAAGAAGAUUUUUUUUUUUGAGGGGUCAAGAUUAAUUAGAAACCGGAGUCUAAGAUCAGAAAUAAAUGCCAUGGUAUAGAAAGUCGAAGAAUUCAUAUUGUGAUUUAUUGAACAAAAAAAUGGAUAAAUUGAGAUGAUAUGACCUUGAAUGAUGAAAAAGUAAAGGUGCUUCCAACUAUUUCACAAUCCUGCAGUUGGGUUACCAUUAUUACAAUGGAAGUUUGAUCUGCUACUUGUCUGUAAUUUAGUUAUUGAUAUAUGGAAUUAGGCCAAAAAUAUCAUACUCUGGCAUUAGACAUUUGAGAUGUCCUAAUUGGUAAUAAACUACUUAAAGUAGUGUCUCCAGUUGUUGGUGAGUAUUGAAGCUAUGUUUCAAUAAUAUAUGACCAUAAUAAUGUGUAUUGUUUUUUUUUUUGAUGAGCAGGGAGGUUAUACCACCCUAAUUUUAUUAGUGGAAUAGAAUAUUUACAGAUGCAGGAUGAAUCAAGCUGAGGAGGCUGGAUUCAUGUCCAAACAAAAUAAAGUAUAGAGCUGAAAACAGGUUUGCAGAGUUCAAUUAUAGGUUUUCAGGUUACGUUUUCAAGUGCCCAGGUAAUAGGUUUCCAGGUGACAGGUUUUCAGAGACAGGUUUCAAGUACCACUGCAGAUUUGUAUUUUGAACACAAGCAUAAUGCUUUCGGAUUAUUGAAUUAUCCCCAGAGAUGUGAUGCUGUAGAACGUGGUCUCAUCAGCUCGUGGGUGAACCAUGGGUCCCAGCACAAAAUAUCUCAUCCCUUCCUGGCACUUGAAAACCCUUUACCAAAAAAGCCCGUUGCUGAAUAUUUACAGGUCUGAAACUACCCUGUACAACGCACAUACUGGAUAUUUUCAGAUGCUGCCGAAGCUCCUAUGCUACGGCCUGUUGCUGAAUAUUUAUAGGGGUAUAACGACCUGCACAGCGUUCAUACCGAACUUGUACAUAAGCUGCCGAAGCUCCUAUGCUCUUCCUCCAGCCUUUUAACGCUAGCACUGUGUUGAGUCUUCUACAGAGAUUGCAGUUCCUCCUUCAUUUGCCGUAUCCUUACUUCAUCCUCUGUUGGCGUUUAAGUUCCCGAUGGAUUUGUGCCCGCAUCAUUGAAUAGUAUGCUGUGGAUUUUAACUGAAUUUUCUUUAGUUUUCCCAUUGCAGAUUUCCAUCCAGUUUUGAUACAGGCUUCUUAUGUUUUGAAAUAGAGAUGAGGGUGCAGUGGCCACCUGCCUAAAGAUCCUAUUUUUCCGUUCAAGCCACAUGCAGCAACAGCAGGUUGAGAACAAAGAGUCCCAUGCCAUUCUUUCCCAUUUAUCUGUGACUCUAUUCCUCCACUCGUUCCAAUAAUUUUCAACAGAUAUCGGCAUUGUGGUUGACCUGACCCUACACAAGAUCUGUUGCCACACCAUCAUUGUAAACUUGCACGUUUGGAAGAUGUGGUCCGCUGUUUCAUCCUCUUCACCACACAACAGUUUAUAACUCCAAAUGCUGAGCGAAUCCCACCAUUGCUCAGGAACUUGUAAUAGUGUUGCACCGAGAAUGUGUUUUUGCUACUCCAUUUCCAUAAAACUGAGUCCUCCUCCAAGGAUAGAGAUAUUGAGUCCAUGCUGUUUUGCAAUUCAGAAAUUUUUGUAUAAAGUCUUGAGUUGGGAGAAAGAUUGCUAAUUGCAACAGUUUCUGCCUCUUGAAGAUAACUUACUAUUGAGAGUGUUGAAUGCUUGGAGAAGAGGAAUGCCAGAGGGAACCUUACUCUAAGAGGUUGGUCUCUAACCCAUAUAUCAUGCCAAAACGCCACCUGAUCACCCUUGCCAACGUUAAAAUGGAUGCUUAGGAAAAACCAGUCUCGUGUCUUCAUGACACUUCUCCAAUAGGGUGAAGCAAACUUUAGAGACUUGAUGCUUAGUUGACUAGGAGGUGUAUCAGCAAAGUGAAGUUUGUGUAUUAGCUUUCUCCAAGGUCUGUUCGGUUCUCGAAAGUAUCUCCACCACCACUUUGAUAGCAAGCAUUUGUUGAAGAGCUGUGAGUUAAUGAUACCAAGACCACCCAAAUGCUUAGGUCUACAUGUAUGCUCCCAGCUUACGAGACAGUGCCCGCCGCAACAUUGAUGGUUUCCUUUCCAAAGGAAGUUCCGCCUGAUGCGAUCAAUUUUUCCGAUCACAGCUGUUGGCAAUUGCAUUACGGACAUCCAAUACACCGGGAUUGAGCUCAAUACAGCAUUUAUCAACGUUAAUCUACCGGCCAUAGUUAAAAAGUUUUCCUUUCCAUGAUGUAAGUUUCCUCUCAAUUUUCUCUUCAAGAAAACGCCAGUCUGAUGCUCGUGGUUUUUUGAAGUGCAGAGGUAUUCCAAGAUAUUUGAAUGACAGGUUUGUUUUUU